rnacentral:rRNA from 1 species
CAACCUACCCUAAAGACGAGGAUAACCAUUGGAAACAGUGGCUAAGACUGGAUAGGAAGAUAAAAGGCAUCUUUUAUCUUUUAAAAGACCUAGUAAUAGGUAUGCUUUAGGAGGGGCUUGCGCCAUAUUAGUUAGUUGGUAGGGUAAUGGCCUACCAAGACGAUGAUGUGUAGCUGGACUGAGAGGUUGAACAGCCACAUUGGGACUGAGACACGGCCCAAACUCCUACGGGAGGCAGCAGUAGGGAAUUUUCGGCAAUGGAGGAAACUCUGACCGAGCAACGCCGCGUGAAUGACGAAGUACUUCGGUAUGUAAAGUUCUUUUAUCAAGGAAGAAAAGCAAAUGGCGAACCAUUUGUUUGCCGGUACUUGAUGAAUAAGCCCCGGCUAAUUAUGUGCCAGCAGCCGCGGUAAGACAUAAGGGGCAAGUGUUAUCCGGAAUUAUUGGGCGUAAAGGGUGCGUAGGCGGUCUAGUAAGUCAGUGGUGUAAUGGCAACGCUUAACGUUGUCCGGCUAUUGAAACUGCUAAACUUGAGUUAGAUAGAGGCGAGUGGAAUUCCAUGUGUAGCGGUAAAAUGCGUAAAUAUAUGGAGGAACACCAGAGGCGUAGGCGGCUCGCUGGGUCUUAACUGACGCUGAGGCACGAAAGCGUGGGGAGCAAACAGGAUUAGAUACCCUGGUAGUCCACGCCGUAAACGAUGAGUACUAAGUGUCGGGUUAAACCGGUACUGAAGUUAACACAUUAAGUACUCCGCCUGAGUAGUACGUACGCAAGUAUGAAACUUAAAGGAAUUGACGGGACUCCGCACAAGCGGUGGAUCAUGUUGUUUAAUUCGAAGAUACCCGAAAAACCUUACCAGGUCUUGACAUGUUUUUGCAAAAUGAUUGUAAUAUCGUGGAGGUUACCAGAAACACAGGUGGUGCAUGGUUGUCGUCAGCUCGUGUCGUGAGAUGUUAGGUUAAGUCCUAAAACGAGCGAAACCCUUAUCGUUAGUUGCCAGCACGUUAUGGUGGGGACUUUAACGAGACUGCCAAUGAUAAAUUGGAGGAAGGUGAGGAUCACGUCAAAUCAGCAUGCCCCUUAUGACCUGGGCUACAAACGUGAUACAAUGGCUGUUACAAAGGGUAGCUGAAACGCAAGUUCUUGGCCAAUCCCCAAAAACAGUCCCAGUCCGGAUUGAAGUCUGCAACUCGACUUCAUGAAGUUGGAAUCGCUAGUAAUCGCGAAUCAGCAUGUCGCGGUGAAUACGUUCUCGGGGUU